GCGGGGUCAAACGGCUUAUUCUCAAUCAGCCUUCCAAGCUGAAUACGAGGGUUCGAUUCCCUUCACCCGCUCCA
rnacentral:tRNA from 1 species